GCAAUGAUGACCUUCAGCUUUUGAGCAAGGGAUGAAAAUAACCUCAGCAAUUCCUCUAAGAAGUUCUGAGCUC
rnacentral:snoRNA from 13 species